GUCUACGGCCAUACCACCCUGAACGCGCCCGAUCUCGUCUGAUCUUGGAAGCUAAGCAGGGUCAGGCCUGGUUAGUACUUGGAUAGGAGAAGUCAUAUUGGAAGUGGUGUAAC
ensembl:rRNA 5S_rRNA 5S ribosomal RNA